AGAUAUUAAAAGCAAGAGACAUGGGAGAGCAUCAUUCCUUUGAGAUUUUAUAAAUCAAACCAACUUUGGAGUUGUCUGAUUUGGAGAGUCAUUAUUCUUGGUCUUCGCUCUUAGAGGUCACUGAUGAAGAGCAGGCGGUGACUGGGAUGAAUGCUGGUCAGAGAGGAGAAACUUUCCCCUAAACAGCGGUGGUUUUAAAGGAGGACGCUGCCCUGGAUGAUGUAGAAGAUGUCACAUGCUGUGCUGAUGGGGUUUCUUCAUGAUUACAUCAGUUAUGCUAAAGAGAUCAUGAAAAUUGACCGUGAUGCAUGAUCUGUAUUCAUGGACUAUGAAACAAACUGUAAGUGUAUAAUUUGUUAAAAAAAAAAAAAAAGUUAAAUGCUUUUUCUGUGUGUUUAGUAGAAGAGUUUACACUCGGUCAUUCAUACACCUGCUCACAUUCU